GUUUGAUCCUGGCUCAAGGACGAAACGCUGGCGGCGCGCCUAACACAUGCAAGUCGAACGGAGCUGAGAGGAGCUUGCUUUUCUUAGCUUAGUGGCGAACGGGUGAGUAACGCGUGAGUAACCUGCCCUGGAGUGGGGGACAACAGUUGGAAACGACUGCUAAUACCGCAUAAGCCCACGGCCCGGCAUCGGGCUGCGGGAAAAGGAUUUAUUCGCUUCAGGAUGGACUCGCGUCCAAUUAGCUAGUUGGUGAGGUAACGGCCCACCAAGGCGACGAUUGGUAGCCGGACUGAGAGGUUGAACGGCCACAUUGGGACUGAGACACGGCCCAGACUCCUACGGGAGGCAGCAGUGGGGGAUAUUGCACAAUGGGGGAAACCCUGAUGCAGCGACGCCGCGUGGAGGAAGAAGGUUUUCGGAUUGUAAACUCCUGUCGUUAGGGACGAUAAUGACGGUACCUAACAAGAAAGCACCGGCUAACUACGUGCCAGCAGCCGCGGUAAAACGUAGGGUGCAAGCGUUGUCCGGAAUUACUGGGUGUAAAGGGAGCGCAGGCGGACCGGCAAGUUGGAAGUGAAAACCAUGGGCUCAACCCAUGAAUUGCUUUCAAAACCGCUGGCCUUGAGUAGUGCAGAGGUAGGUGGAAUUCCCGGUGUAGCGGUGGAAUGCGUAGAUAUCGGGAGGAACACCAGUGGCGAAGGCGACCUACUGGGCACCAACUGACGCUGAGGCUCGAAAGCAUGGGUAGCAAACAGGAUUAGAUACCCUGGUAGUCCAUGCCGUAAACGAUGAUUACUAGGUGUUGGAGGAUUGACCCCUUCAGUGCCGCAGUUAACACAAUAAGUAAUCCACCUGGGGAGUACGACCGCAAGGUUGAAACUCAAAGGAAUUGACGGGGGCCCGCACAAGCAGUGGAGUAUGUGGUUUAAUUCGAAGCAACGCGAAGAACCUUACCAGGUCUUGACAUCCGAUGCAUAGUGCAGAGAUGCAUGAAGUCCUUCGGGACAUCGAGACAGGUGGUGCAUGGUUGUCGUCAGCUCGUGUCGUGAGAUGUUGGGUUAAGUCCCGCAACGAGCGCAUCCCUUAUUGCCAGUUACUACGCAAGAGGACUCUGGCGAGACUGCCGUUGACAAAACGGAGGAAGGUGGGGAUGACGUCAAAUCAUCAUGCCCUUUAUGAUUUGGGCUACACACGUGCUACAAUGGCGUAAACAGAGGGAAGCGAAAUGGUGACAUGGAGCAAAUCCCAAAAAUAACGUCCCAGUUCGGACUGUAGUCUGCAACCCGACUACACGAAGCUGGAAUCGCUAGUAAUCGCAGAUCAGAAUGCUGCGGUGAAUACGUUCCCGGGUCUUG
rnacentral:rRNA from 1 species